rnacentral:misc_RNA from 1 species
ACACCUCAACUCUCGUGGUUUGCUACGAUGAGCUUGGACUUUGGGGGUUUUGCUGGCCUGUGGUCGGCUCCUCUCAAAUGAAUCAGCUUCUCAGUGUUUGGUGGAGUCGCGGUGUGAUAACUAUCUACGCUUGUGGCUUUUCACCGGAUAACCUUUGGUGACGGAGGUUCGCUGGGGCUCAUAAAUGUCUUUCCUCAGUGAAGACGGCUUUUGAAC